AACGCUGGCGGAAUGCUUUACACAUGCAAGUCGAACGGUAGAGGGGGCAACCCCUUGAGAGUGGCGAACGGGUGAGUAAUAUAUCGGAACGUGCCCAGUCGUGGGGGAUAACGUAGCGAAAGCUACGCUAAUACCGCAUAUGAUCUAUGGAUGAAAGCGGGGGAUCGCAAGACCUCGCGCGAUUGGAGCGGCCGAUAUCAGAUUAGGUAGUUGGUGAGGUAAAGGCUCACCAAGCCGACGAUCUGUAGCUGGUCUGAGAGGACGACCAGCCACACUGGGACUGAGACACGGCCCAGACUCCUACGGGAGGCAGCAGUGGGGAAUUUUGGACAAUGGGCGCAAGCCUGAUCCAGCAAUGCCGCGUGCAGGAUGAAGGCCUUCGGGUUGUAAACUGCUUUUGUACGGAACGAAACGGUGAGCUCUAAUACAGUUUGCUAAUGACGGUACCGUAAGAAUAAGCACCGGCUAACUACGUG
rnacentral:rRNA from 1 species